GAUCUUCAUAUGAAGCUAAUGGAAACUCAAGCAUCUUGUCAAUUCGAGGGGCAUUGACAGAAACAUCAGGAGACUUAAUACAGUCAAGAAAACUGAGACUCGGCCUUCGAGGUAAUUCUUGAACUGCUGCCUUGUUUGUCAAUGGCAAAGAUGCCCUACGAGUUGUAGAAACAGAUCUCUUCACCAGGGUUCGUGAAGCCUGUCAAGCAUAGAGUAGUCAAACGACAGGUGUUGGGAACUAGAAUUUCAUAUAAUCAUAUUACUGCUUCAAGUACAUAAGCUUAUAUCCAUGAUUUUCAGAGCAUAGAUAUAAAAGCAACCACAUGUUAUUUUCUUCAUUUUUAAACCGGUAAGAAGUUGGUACACGAAGGCACUAAUAAAGCAGUUCAAAGGCAUAAUUACUGAGAGACCAAACCACUCAGCUACGAAAAAAAAUAGAAUUUACAUUAUCAAAUGAAUCUACUAGGGAAUCUACCUAGUCUACUCUAUUUUCUAUACACAAAAAGUGAAACAACAAGAUACAAUUCAUCUUGAGCUUCUGUGUUGAGGUCUGCCUAUCUUUAAUGUGUUCUUUUGUUUUCCUUUUGCUUUUUCUGCUCUCUCGUGUGACGUUGUUCGAUUUCACUCGCAAUGUAUUUUUAUCUAACUAGUUUAUCAUAUAAUAAUAAUUGUGAAAAUGAAUAUUAAAAUUGUUACUGGCAAUUAUCUAAAGCUAAUUUGAUGGAACAUAUCCUGGUUUGGGCAUUCCAAACAGUUCAUCAAGAUCCAAAUGAAUAUCACAAUAUUAGGUAAAUUUUAGGAUACUGGCUUUUCAUUUCACAUAUAAGUUGACACCAUCAAAGAUUUAGUGAGAAACCAUUUUCUCUAAAUCUGUUGCAAUGACAAACUAUUGAAUAUAUUAGUUUUUAUAUAUUGGUAUUUGCCUACUUUGUUGUACAUCAGUUGAAUCGCUUGGACGUUCUUGUCUAGAAUAAAAUCCAUUUAUUUUUAUAAAAUAGAAAGAAGUAAAAUGGAUAAGCUUUUACUUGUAACCUUACCAUAUCGCUGUUCCUUAGAUCCACUUGUCUUCUUGGAGUAGUAGUCAAUUUUGGCACGAUCACCUUUGGAUUCUUAUUCACAAGCAAAGCUUUAGAAGUGAUUUUUUUUGUGACAGUUGAUCCUCUAUCAGGGCUUCCAACAGACAAUUCAGAUACUCUGCUUGGUGUUUUUGGAUAUCUACGAUUUGAAAAAGUAUAAUCGUGAUCAGAGACACUAGGAUUCAAAGUCCUAUCAUUUCCACAUGACAUUCGCUUCUCUCUGUUC
rnacentral:lncRNA from 1 species